UAUAUAUAAGUGUAUGAUGCACUUAAAUUUUUGAUAUUUAAAGUAAUAGUUUAAUUCUAUUGUAUAUAA
rnacentral:tRNA from 1 species